rnacentral:rRNA from 1 species
UACAGAGGUUGCAAGCGUUAAUCGGAAUUACUGGGCGUAAAGCGCGCGUAGGUGGCAAGUUAAGUCGGAUGUGAAAGCCCUGGGCUCAACCUAGGAAUUGCAUUCGAUACUGGCUCGCUCGAGUUUGGUAGAGGAGAGUGGAAUUCCCGGUGUAGCGGUGAAAUGCGUAGAUAUCGGGAGGAACAUCAGUGGCGAAGGCGGCCCCCUGGACUAGGACUGACGCUGAGGUGCGAAAGCGUGGGGAGCAAACAGG